AAGGGAUAAUCGGGGCUCGCCCCCGUCCUCCCACCCAUGAAUACUCGAGGACCCUGUCCAAGUUACUUCGGCGGAUAUUUCCGCCGAGCAACCAAACCAAACUCUAAUUCAACGUGUCGUCUGAAUUUUGAGAAAAUCGAAUUA
rnacentral:misc_RNA from 1 species